GAUGGGAGCUUGGGAGUUGACUACCCCUCCCCAGGGCAGACAAGAUGGACAGACAGAGGCCUCUGGAGGCAACUCUAAGCUUGGUGGUUGUGUCAAGGGAACACUGGCCCAAACUACUCACCAGGUGGUCCUGGAUGAGCCUGCAUUUCUCAUCUGGAAAUUGCACUUGGCCAUCCUGCCUGCCGUCUGGGCAGCCUGUUCUACAGCUGUCUGUCUGGUGGUUCUCACAUGGCCUCACCAAGUUUAUAAGCUCCCUGAUGGCAGGGACUUUGUUUUAUUGCUGUACCAAACCCCUUGCACAGUGCCUGGAGCGUGGCCAGCGUGUGGAUGCAUGAGGAAGGACUGCUAUCACCCCUUUUGGCAGAUGAGAAACCAGACCUGGAGAGGUGGCAUGCUGCCCAAGGUCACAGAACCAGCAAGGAUAGUGGAUCUGAGUGUUGUUCCUUCUCUCUGUCAUGUCUCAGGUGUGUGCUUUCUGGGUGGUCGGGUGUGAGUGUGUCUGAGGU